rnacentral:misc_RNA from 1 species
GAUGAAGAACGCAGCGAAAUGCGAUACGUAAUGUGAAUUGCAGAAUUCAGUGAAUCAUCGAGUCUUUGAACGCACAUUGCGCCCCCUGGUAUUCCGGGGGACAUGCCUGUCCGAGCGUCAUUGCUGCCCUCAAGCACGGCUUGUGUGUUGGGCCUCCGUCCUCCUCCCGGGGGACGGGCCCGAAAGGCAGCGGCGGCACCGCGUCCGGUCCUCGAGCGUAUGGGGCUUCGUCACCCGCUCUUGUAGNCNCGGCCGGCGCUUGCCGACACAUCAAUCUUUUUUCCAGGUUGACCUCGGAUCAGGUAGGGAUACCCGCUGAACUUAAGCAUAUCAAUAAGCGGAGG